GUCAUUGUAACGUACAUUGAAAGCAUAUUUUAAAAGUACACAUUUUAAUAUCGACACUGUAAUAUUAAGUUUGAGUGCAUUUUAAGUUACAUUUGAAUCUAAUUAUGAAGUGAAGUUAUAUACGCUUGUACUUCAGGUAAUUCUUUUGGAAAGUGUUCAAUAGUAUAACUACAAAAAUGCACUUAAACCCUAUUAUGCAAUUUUGUGCUGUGUGUAAAGUACACAGAUAGCAAUUAUUGCAGUUGUUAUGUAAUGUUUAAUAAGUUUUGAAAAAGAAAUAUGAUACAAUACAUCUUACACACAAAACCACAUUGAACAAAACACUAAAUGUUCACUUCAAAAGUACAGGUGCACAAAAAUGUGUGUUCUGCUGAAAAGCAAGUGGUUUAAAGCUGGUGCAGUGCUACAUUAUGAUCUAACAAAUAGCAUAACCCACAUUGCAACAGAAAAGUUAAUACUGGCCAAAUGCAAAAGAAAUAAACUUAACACAUUACAAUUGUCUCAAGUGUUCAAAAAAGAACAUUUCAUUAGUAUUGUUUAAUGGAUCAAAGCAGGGCUACUGCAAACAAGACCAAUUGGUGAGUGCACAUAUUUAAAAGUCGCUGACAGCACUUCAUGCAUAUAGGAGUGAUAUGUGGAGGUUGUUUGGCCUUGAUGUCUGUAAAGUAGUAGCUCCCCAAGAAUUUUAGUCUUGGGGAGUUUUUGGUUCAGUACUGAUAUCAGAAUUCCCAUAGACUUUGAAUGCACCACACCUGCACAGCAGUUAGUCACGGCUCCUCCCUGCUCAGAGCUAGCGUGCUUUUCUUUUAAGGCCUUGGUCUGCAUGGAGAGAGAAACAGGAGAUGUAAUCGGUUGAGCAGGAAGAUUUGCUGUAUUAUUGUGUUGAAGAAUAUCCUGGCUGUUUUUUUUUUUACAUAGUUGCAGAAUCUGCUGUUACAGCUGAGCAGUUCAUUGUAUGGACUGGACUAGACUCCACCAGAGAUGUUGAUGCAGAAUGUUCCCAAUGUGAAUGCCAUCCGGUUCCCUGGAGGGUGGUAGGAAAAACAAGGAAACUUAAGGAUUUUUCUUCCCUUUCUUUCUGCGGAUUCAUAAUUUUUUUCUUUUCUGAGAUCUCUGACAAUUUUUGUUGUUACUUUGUUUAAUUUUUUUGAUCAGAUCUGAUAAAACCACUUGAUGCAUCAGAUUUAUUUAAAUUCAACUGAAAUGGACAAUUUUUUUUUCUGGUGCACUUAUGGACCCUGACGCUGUUCUUCUGGAGUUUCCGUAGACAAGUGUCUCUGAUGUGCGCACGGCCAUCAGACGAAAAUGUAACAAUGAGCAGUUCAGCCAAAAAAAGGAAAAUAAUGUGUGGUGGGCGUGUUUUUGUAUGGUGGGAGGGUUUAGGGGUGCAAUAAUAAGGAAUGUUGUUUUUCAUUGUUCAGUAUUCCUCUGCGUUCUUUAAAGUUUAUUUGUAAUGUUUAGGUCUGCUGCCUGAAAUUGACAUAUUUCUACAAAGUGUACUAAAGUACCAAUAUUUGAAAAUGU